rnacentral:rRNA from 1 species
AGUGAACGCUGGCGGCAGGCCUAACACAUGCAAGUCGAGCGGCAGCGCAGGUAGCAAUACCGGGCGGCGAGCGGCGGACGGGUGAGUAAGGCAUCGGAAUCUGCCCUGAUGUGGGGGAUAACGUAGGGAAACUUACGCUAAUACCGCAUACGACCCCAAAUCGACAGGUUUGGGAUGAAAGCGGGGGACCUUUGGGCCUCGCGCAGCAGGAUGAGCCGAUGUCCGAUUAGCUAGAUGGUGGGGUAAGGGACCACCAAGGCGACGAUCGGUAGCCGGACUGUGAGGAUGAUGAGUCACACUGGAACGGAAACACGGACCAGACUCCUAGGGGAGGAAGCAGUGGGGAAUAUUGGACAAUGGGCGCAAGCCUGAUUCAGCCAUGCCGCGUGUGUGAAGAAGGCCUUAGGGUUGUAAAGCAAUUUCAGUGGGGAGAAAGGUAAUUCACUUAAUACGUGAGUUAAUUGAUGUUACCCACAGAAGAAGCACCGGCUAACUCCGUGCCAGCCGCCGCAGUAA